ensembl:snRNA U6 U6 spliceosomal RNA
GGUAGCUUCGGCAGCCAUAUACUAAAACUGGAAUGAUACACAGGAGACUGGCACGGCCCCUGCACAAGGAUGACACACAAAUUCAUGAAGCGUUCCAUAUUCAA